AGGAAUUGCGUUGGAUCAGUGGUACGGGGAGGUCUUCUGGCACUAGACCGGACAACUGUCGACAUUACAGACCAUGAAAUGUUACCAAUAAGAGGGAAGAAGUGUCGAUGCCAGGAAACUGUGGAAGCACUGCAGAAAGAAAAUGAAUCUUUGAGGAAUUCGUAUUACAAUAUGGCUGGAGAAAUUAGAUCUUUGUGGGCGUGGAUUAAUUUGCUGGACCAAAGGCAGCAGAGCAACAGUGUUCCUCAGCAUAAUGAG
rnacentral:lncRNA from 1 species